rnacentral:rRNA from 1 species
UAGGGAAUCUUCGGCAAUGGACGGAAGUCUGACCGAGCAACGCCGCGUGAGUGAAGAAGGUUUUCGGAUCGUAAAGCUCUGUUGUUAGAGAAGAACGUUGGUAGGAGUGGAAAAUCUACCAAGUGACGGUAACUAACCAGAAAGGGACGGCUAACUACGUGCCAGCAGCCGCGGUAAUACGUAGGUCCCGAGCGUUGUCCGGAUUUAUUGGGCGUAAAGCGAGCGCAGGCGGUUCUUCAAGUCUGAAGUUAAAGGCAGUGGCUUAACCAUUGUACGCUUUGGAAACUGGAGGACUUGAGUGCAGAAGGGGAGAGUGGAAUUCCAUGUGUAGCGGUGAAAUGCGUAGAUAUAUGGAGGAACACCGGUGGCGAAAGCGGCUCUCUGGUCUGUAACUGACGCUGAGGCUCGAAAGCGUGGGGAGCAAACAGG